AUGAACGCUGGCGGCGUGCCUAAUACCUGCAAGUCGAGCGAACAGACGAGGAGCUUGCUCCUCUGACGUUAGCGGCGGACGGGUGAGUAACACGUGGAUAACCUACCUAUAAGACUGGGAUAACUUCGGGAAACCGGAGCUAAUACCGGAUAAUAUAUUUAACCGCAUGGUUCAAUAGUGAAGGACGGUUUUGCUGUCACUUAUAGAUGGAUCCGCGCCGCAUUAGCUAGUUGGUAAGGUAACGGCUUACCAAGGCAACGAUGCGUAGCCGACCUGAGAGGGUGAUCGGCCACACUGGAACUGAGACACGGUCCAGACUCCUACGGGAGGCAGCAGUAGGGAAUCUUCCGCAAUGGGCGAAAGCCUGACGGAGCAACGCCGCGUGAGUGAUGAAGGUCUUCGGAUCGUAAAACUCUGUUAUUAGGGAAGAACAAAUGUGUAAGUAACUAUGCACGUCUUGACGGUACCUAAUCAGAAAGCCACGGCUAACUACGUG
rnacentral:rRNA from 1 species